GUCCCUGUAGCUUAUACAAAGCAUGACACUGAAGAUGUCAAGAUGGCUGC
rnacentral:tRNA from 1 species